rnacentral:rRNA from 1 species
CCAUGGUUAAUACCCAUGGACGAUGACAUUAGCUGCAGAAUAAGCACCGGCUAACUCUGUGCCAGCAGCCGCGGUAAUACAGAGGGUGCAAGCGUUAAUCGGAAUUACUGGGCGUAAAGCGAGCGUAGGUGGCUUAAUAAGUCAGAUGUGAAAGCCCCGGGCUUAACCUGGGAACGGCAUCUGAUACUGUUAGGCUAGAGUAGGUGAGAGGAAGGUAGAAUUCCAGGUGUAGCGGUGAAAUGCGUAGAGAUCUGGAGGAAUACCGAUGGCGAAGGCAGCCUUCUGGCAUCAUACUGACACUGAGGUUCGAAAGCGUGGGUAGCAAACAGGAUUAGAUACCCUGGUAGUCCACGCCGUAAACGAUGUCUACUAGUCGUUGGGGAACUUGAUUCCUUAGUGACGCAGCUAACGCAAUAAGUAGACCGCCUGGGGAGUACGGCCGCAAGGUUAAAACUCAAAUGAAUUGACGGGGGCCCGCACAAGCGGUGGAGCAUGUGGUUUAAUUCGAUGCAACGCGAAGAACCUUACCUGGUCUUGACAUAUCUAGAAUCCUGCAGAGAUGCGGGAGUGCCUUCGGGAAUUAGAAUACAGGUGCUGCAUGGCUGUCGUCAGCUCGUGUCGUGAGAUGUUGGGUUAAGUCCCGCAACGAGCGCAACCCUUGUCCUUAGUUACCAGCGGUUUGGCCGGGAACUCUAAGGAUACUGCCAGUGACAAACUGGAGGAAGGCGGGGACGACGUCAAGUCAUCAUGGCCCUUACGACCAGGGCUACACACGUGCUACAAUGGUAGGUACAGAGGGCAGCUACACAGCGAUGUGAUGCGAAUCUCAAAAAGCCUAUCGUAGUCCAGAUUGGAGUCUGCAACUCGACUCCAUGAAGUAGGAAUCGCUAGUAAUCGCGGAUCAGAAUGCCGCGGUGAAUACGUUCCCGGGCCUUGUACACACCGCCCGUCAC